CCUACGGGGGGCAGCAGUGGGGAAUAUUGCGCAAUGGGGGAAACCCUGAUGCAGCGACGCCGCGUGAGCGAUGAAGUAUUUCGGUAUGUAAAGCUCUAUCAGCAGGGAAGAAAAUGCCUGUACCUGACUAAGAAGCCCCGGCUAACUACGUGCCAGCAGCCGCGGUAAUACGUAGGGGGCGAGCGUUAUCAGGAUUUACUGGGUGUAAAGGGAGCGGAGAGGGUGAUGCAAGCCAGUGGUGAAAGCCCGGGGGUUAACCCCGGGACUGCAUUUGGAACUGGAAGGCUAGAGUGUCGGAGAGGCAGGCGGAAUUCCUAGUGUAGCGGUGAAAUGCGUAGAUAUGAGGAGGAACACCAGUGGCGAAGGCGGCCUGCUGGACGAUGACUGACGUUGAGGCUCGAAAGCGUGGGGAGCAAACAGGAUUAGAUACCCUUGUAGUC
rnacentral:rRNA from 1 species